CGGCCGUUGAGUCCCGUUCAUUGUGAGCACAUCCCAGGGGACUUCAGAAUGGGCAUCACUAACUCCCUGGUCUCCAACCAUGUUCCAGCCUGCCUGGCUAAUGGAUCGUGGAGCCCUCCCCCAACACCCCAGAUCUUCAUCUCACUCCUCCUUCAGGCUUCCUCUUAGUUCUGGCUCAUGCACAGAAAUGUCAACAGCUCCAGACCAGCCCUGACGCAUACUUGGCACUUGGCGAGGCUUCUUGAAUUGAUGCAUGGGUACAGACACAGAGAGAUGGAGCAGGGGCCAUGGCUCGGAUCACCUUGGCCUUUUCUAGGCCUUCAGCCUUUCUGCAGUGUUGAGAGAUGUGGCCUGCAUUCCAGAAUGUUUCACUGAGUACAGGUUUCCUUUACCAGUGUGUAUGUGUGUGUGUGUGUGUGUGUGUGUGUGUGCGCGUGCGCAUGCGCACACAUGCGUGUGUGGUUUUUGCUCCCUAAGAGGACAUCUGGCAAUAUCUGGAGAUAUUUGAGAUCCCUAUGAGAGAACAACAUGGGCUACUGGCCUAUGGGCAUGUGGUGGGUAGAGACCAGAAGUCCUUUUCCAGAGCCCAAUAUAAUGUACAGAACGUCCACCAUAAGAAAUUAUAUAGACAAAAUGGCAACUACAUUGCAGUCUAGAAAUCCUGAUAUCGUCUAAUCAUGUUUGGAGUUAUUUCAUCUCACUUAAUAAAAUGCAAGUUUCUUCA